rnacentral:rRNA from 1 species
AGAGUUUGAUUCUGGCUCAGAUUGAACGCUGGCGGAAUGCUUUACACAUGCAAGUCGAACGGCAGCACGGGGGCGACCCUGGUGGCGAGUGGCGAACGGGUGAGUAACACAUCGGAACGCGUCCUGUAAUGGGGGAUAACCUGGCGAAAGCCAGGCUAAUACCGCAUACGUCCUGAGGGAGAAAGCGGGGGAUUGGCAACGACCUCGCGUUAUAGGAGUGGCCGAUGUCGGAUUAGCUAGUUGGUGGGGUAAAGGCCUACCAAGGCGACGAUCCGUAGCUGGUCUGAGAGGACGACCAGCCACACUGGAACUGAGACACGGUCCAGACUCCUACGGGAGGCAGCAGUGGGGAAUCUUGCGCAAUGGACGAAAGUCUGACGCAGCCAUGCCGCGUGAGUGAUGAAGGCCCUCGGGUCGUAAAGCUCUGUCCAAGGGGACGAAAAAGGUGUUGGUGAAUAUCCAGCAUCUCUGACGGUACCCUUGAAGAAAGCACCGGCUAACUCCGUGCCAGCCGCCGCGGUAA